AGCGAACGCUGGCGGCAGGCCUAACACAUGCAAGUCGAACGAACUCUUCGGAGUUAGUGGCGGACGGGUGAGUAACACGUGGGAACGUGCCUUUAGGUUCGGAAUAACUCAGGGAAACUUGUGCUAAUACCGAAUGUGCCCUUCGGGGGAAAGAUUUAUCGCCUUUAGAGCGGCCCGCGUCUGAUUAGCUAGUUGGUGAGGUAAAGGCUCACCAAGGCGACGAUCAGUAGCUGGUCUGAGAGGAUGAUCAGCCACAUUGGGACUGAGACACGGCCCAAACCCCUCCGGGAGGCAGCAGGGGGGAAUCUUGCGCAAUGGGCGAAAGCCUGACGCAGCCAGGCCGGGGGAAUGAUGAAGGUUUUGGGAUUGUAAAAUUUUUUCACCGGGGACGAUAAUGACGGUACCCGGAGAAGAAGCCCCGGCUAACUUCGU
rnacentral:rRNA from 1 species